CCUACGGGCGGCAGCAGUGGGGAAUAUUGGGCAAUGGACGCAAGUCUGACCCAGCAACGCCGCGUGAAGGAAGAAGGCUUUCGGGUUGUAAACUUCUUUUAAGGGGGAAGAGCAGAAGACGGUACCCCUUGAAUAAGCCACGGCUAACUACGUGCCAGCAGCCGCGGUAAUACGUAGGUGGCAAGCGUUAUCCGGAUUUAUUGGGUUUAAAGGGUGCGUAGGCGGGCUGUUAAGUCAGCGGUAAAAAUUCGGGGCUCAACCCCGUCCGGCCGUGGAAACUGGGGGCCUUGAGUGGGCGAGAGGAAGGCGGAAUGCGUGGUGUAGCGGUGAAAUGCAUAGAUAUCACGCAGAACCCCGAUUGCGAAGGCAGCCUUCCGGCGCCCUACUGACGCUGAGGCACGAAAGUGCGGGGAUCGAACAGGAUUAGAUACCCCUGUAGUC
rnacentral:rRNA from 1 species